AAUAGAUACCCAGGUAGUCCACGCCGUAAACGAUGUCGACUUGGAGGUUGUGCCCUUGAGGCGUGGCUUCCGGAGCUAACGCGUUAAGUCGACCGCCUGGGGAGUACGGCCGCAAGGUUAAAACUCAAAUGAAUUGACGGGGGGCCCGCACAAGCGGUGGAGCAUGUGGUUUAAUUCGAUGCAACGCGAAGAACCUUACCUGGUCUUGACAUCCACAGAACUUUCCAGAGAUGGAUUGGUGCCUUCGGGAACUGUGAGACAGGUGCUGCAUGGCUGUCGUCAGCUCGUGUUGUGAAAUGUUGGGUUAAGUCCCGCAACGAGCGCAACCCUUAUCCUUUGUUGCCAGCGGUCCGGCCGGGAACUCAAAGGAGACUGCCAGUGAUAAACUGGAGGAAGGUGGGGAUGACGUCAAGUCAUCAUGGCCCUUACGACCAGGGCUACACACGUGCUACAAUGGCGCAUACAAAGAGAAGCGAACUCGCGAGAGCAAGCGGACCUCAUAAAGUGCGUCGUAGUCCGGA
rnacentral:rRNA from 1 species